CGGGUCUGAAUCCUGGUGUUUUCCCCAGUCGCCGCGCCCCCGACGUUCAUCCCGCCGGGAUCCCCGGGGGACCGACUUUGUGUCAUGUUGUGAAUGCAACAUGUUCGACAGCAUACCUGCCGGGGAAAAUAUCUUCUCUGAUGGCGGAGCAGAGCCCGCCGGAGCUGCUGCAGGCCCGGCUCAGCGGGGACGGAGGGCGCGAGGCACGGCCGCGCUCUCGGCACCCCGGAGGUGCCGCCGGAACGGAGCGGGGACCACCGCUGGCUCUGCUCGGGAGCGCUGGCCGCGGGGCCCCCCAGCCCCUUCCCGGGGCCACCUCCGGGGCAGCGUGAGCGGCCGGCAGCACCUGCCCCAGCCCCGCCGGGGCCGCGAUGACGGACUGCCAAGGACGGGGCUCCCUCCUAACCUCUCGCCGUUCGGGAAGCCGAGAACUCCGAGCUGAUCAAAGAAACAAACACUUUUAAUGAAACAUAUGCAAGAUACUUAGAAGGAGAAGAUUCACAAUGCAUCUGCUGCGGGACCAGAAGGCUUAUCAAAAGUGUGAAGUAGGAGGAGAAGAAUUACGAGUGUAUGAUGCCAGAGAAGAUUACAGAAAUAUUAAGCAGAAGGAAUGUAAACACGUAUAGCUGGGGGGUAGAGGCUCGCUCUGAGGGUGCUGGUGCCUUUGGGUGCCAGGCCAGGGGCUGGGUGCAGCUUUGGGUGGCCCCAGUUGGGGCACCCCACGCACCCAGCCCUCGCCGCGGGGGGCUGGCCACGGCCGGGGCCGGCAGGACAGCGCGUGUGUCCCGGUCCCCCCCCUGCCCCGGGGACCCCCUCUGCAACUCAGCAGCGAAACAGCAGCAGGGAACCCGCCCCAUCAUCUUCUUCAGCUGGCCUCGGAGCCGAGGAGCAUCAGGACAACAAUUUAUUUACACCUCCCUCCCGAAACAAAAAACUUCAGCGGAGGAUCAGUUUUCUUGCACCGCUUAUUGAAAACAUAAACACCGUGAAAACCUGUAAUUUCUGGGGAUAAUACAGGAGGUUUAACUAUCA